rnacentral:rRNA from 1 species
UACGAAGGGGGCUAGCGUUGCUCGGAAUUACUGGGCGGAAAGCGCGUGUAGGCGGGUCUUUAAGUCAGGGGUGAAAUGCCAAGGCUCAACCUUGGAACUGCCUUUGAUACUGGAGAUCUUGAGUCCGGGAGAGGUGAGUGGAAUUGCGAGUGUAGAGGUGAAAUUCGUAGAUAUUCGCAAGAACACCAGUGGCGAAGGCGGCUCACUGGCCCGGAACUGACGCUGAGACGCGAAAGCGUGGGGAGCAAACAGG